rnacentral:rRNA from 1 species
UACGGGAGGCAGCAGUGGGGAAUAUUGCACAAUGGGGGGAAACCCUGAUGCAGCCAUGCCGCGUGUGUGAAGAAGGCCUUCGGGUUGUAAAGCACUUUCAGUAGGGAGGAAGGUAGUGUAGUUAACACCUGCACUAUUUGACGUUACCUACAGAAGAAGCACCGGCUAACUCCGUGCCAGCAGCCGCGGUAAUACGGAGGGUGCGAGCGUUAAUCGGAAUUACUGGGCGUAAAGCGCAUGCAGGCGGCCUGUUAAGUCAGAUGUGAAAGCCCGGGGCUUAACCUCGGAAUUGCAUUUGAAACUGGCAGGCUAGAGUCUUGUAGAGGGGGUAGAAUUUCAGGUGUAGCGGUGAGAUGCGUAGAGAUCUGAAGGAAUACCAGUGGCGAAGGCGGCCCCCUGGACAAAGACUGACGCUCAGAUGCGAAAGCGUGGGGAGCAAACAGGAUUAGAUACCCUGGUAG